UACGUAGGGUGCAGGCGUUAAUCGGAAUUACUGGGCGUAAAGCGUGCGCAGGCGGUUUGCUAAGAUAGGUGCGAAAUCCCCGAGCUUAACCUGGGAACUGCGUUUGAAACUACAAGGCUAGAGUGUAGCAGAGGGGGGUGGAAUUCCACGUGUAGCAGUGAAAUGCGUAGAGAUGUGGAGGAACACCGAUGGCGAAGGCAGCCCCCUGGGCUAACACUGACGCUCAGGCACGAAAGCGUGGGGAGCAAACAGG
rnacentral:rRNA from 1 species